GGGAAAGUGGGUUGCAAUAAAGCAGGGAGCCGCAUCUCCAUCAAUAAAACUGCAGAUAUCUGUUAGAUCUCCAAGGAAGAAGACAAGGAAGUAAAGGGUGUGACAAGGCGGCAGUCAUGUUGUGGGGCAUCCUUCUUCCCACCUCACUCUCACUCCCAUGGAUACGUUUGCUUUAUUAUUUGUGCCUCCUCUUUCUCAUCUCAUCCAACCGUCUUCUCGCCGGGACUGGAACAAUUAUGUGGGGAGAACAGCCCUAAAAACAAUGGUGAAUGCUCAGAAAAGAUUAAUGAAGUCUCACCACUUAAAUGUGCAUUUGCAAUAUUUGAUGCCGACUUCUUCAAUGAUGCUAAGAUAGCCGAGAUUGAGAAGGGUGCAACUGAGCUGAAUAUCCCUAUAUCAAGAGCCAAUCGUAAGUUAGUUGCUUCUGUUAAUGGAGGUUUACAUGAUCCAUCUUAUUUGGUUUUCAAUCCUGAGUGGGGCAAUGAACAAGUGCAAAGCAAAACAAAAAGAUUCAGUUAUCCUUCCCUUUCUGGAAU